CAUUUUCUCAACCAGGGUAUGGAACUUGGUUCCUCGAAUAACUUCUGGCACAGACAUCUGAGGGCAUGGCCGUCCAAGAAGAAAAUUUAGCCAUUGUUGCCAUCUAUCGACCACAGGUUAAAGAUUGGCGAUCCGUUGGAUAUAGAUCGAGUUAUAGGCAAAAGUUGGUGCAAAAAUGAGGAAAAUUUUACAUUUUCUCAACCAGGGUAUGGAACUUGGUUCCUCGAAUAACUUCUGGCACAGACAUCUGAGGGCAUGGCCGUCCAAGAAGAAAAUUUAGCCAUUGUUGCCAUCUAUCGACCACAGGUUAAAGAUUGGCGAUCCGUUGGAUACCGACCGAGUUAUAGGCAAAAGUUGGUGCAAAAAUGGGCCUUAUAAAAUUUUCAAAUUUUUAGAAUUUUUUUAUUUUCUUAAAUAUUUUACUCUUUUUUUUGUUUAAAACAUUAUUUGAGUGAAAAGAAACUCAUUGCAACCAAUUGGCAUUAAAAUAAAUCAAUUUGAAUUUUUUUGCAAAAUUUCUCAAAAAAAUGGCAAGGGGUAAGCCUUAUGAAAUUUUCGUGUUGAAAAUUUUUUUAAAAUUUUUUUCUGAUUUUUUAUUCUUUUUUUAAUUUAAAGCACUAUUUAAGUGAAAAGAAACUUAUUGCAACAAAUUCCCAUUAAAAUAUAUCACAUUUUUCAAUUUUGCUGCAUUGGUGAAAAAUGAGGAAAAUUUUACAUUUUCUCAAACAGGGUAUGGAACUUGGUUCCUCGAAUAACUUCUGGCACAGACAUCUGAGGGCAUGGCCGUCCAAGAAGAAAAUGUAGCCAUUGUUGCCAUCUAUCGACCACAGGUUAAAGAUUGGCGAUCCGUUUGAUAUAGAUCGAGUUAUAGGCAAAAGUUGGUGCAAAAAUGAGGAAAAUUUUACAUUUUCUCAACCAGGGUAUGGAACUUGGUUCCUCGAAUAACUUCUGGCACAGACAUCUGAGGGCAUGGCCGUCCAAGAAGAAAAUUUAGCCAUUGUUGCCAUCUAUCGACCACAGGUUAAAGAUUGGCGAUCCGUUGGAUACCGACCGAGUUAUAGGCAAAAGUUGGUGCAAAAAUGAGGAAAAUUUUACAUUUUCUCAACCAGGGUAUGGAACUUGGUUCCUCGAAUAACUUCUGGCACAGACAUCUGAGGGCAUAGCCGUCCAAGAAGAAAAUUUAGC